CGAACGAUGAAGGAGGAGCUUGCUCCUCCGGAUUAGUGGCGAACGGGUGAGUAACACGUGAGCAAUCUGCCCUUGACUCUGGGAUAAGCGCUGGAAACGGCGUCUAAUACCGGAUACGACCCGCGGAGGCAUCUCCUGCGGGUGGAAAGAACUUCGGUCAAGGAUGAGCUCGCGGCCUAUCAGCUUGUUGGUGAGGUAAUGGCUCACCAAGGCGACGACGGGUAGCCGGCCUGAGAGGGUGACCGGCCACACUGGGACUGAGACACGGCCCAGACUCCUACGGGAGGCAGCAGUGGGGAAUAUUGCACAAUGGGCGCAAGCCUGAUGCAGCAACGCCGCGUGAGGGACGACGGCCUUCGGGUUGUAAACCUCUUUUAGCAGGGAAGAAGCGAGAGUGACGGUACCUGCAGAAAAAGCACCGGCUAACUACGUGCCAGCAGCCGCGGUAAUACGUAGGGUGCAAGCGUUGUCCGGAAUUAUUGGGCGUAAAGAGCUCGUAGGCGGUCUGUCGCGUCUGCUGUGAAAACCCGAGGCUCAACCUCGGGCUUGCAGUGGGUACGGGCAGACUAGAGUGCGGUAGGGGAGAUUGGAAUUCCUGGUGUAGCGGUGGAAUGCGCAGAUAUCAGGAGGAACACCGAUGGCGAAGGCAGAUCUCUGGGCCGUAACUGACGCUGAGGAGCGAAAGCGUGGGGAGCAAACAGGCUUAGAUACCCUGGUAGUCCACGCCGUAAACGUUGGGAACUAGAUGUGGGGACCAUUCCACGGUCUCCGUGUCGUAGCUAACGCAUUAAGUUCCCCGCCUGGGGAGUAC
rnacentral:rRNA from 1 species